GCUGGCUGAUCCUUCACUCCUUCCUAUCCUCUCCCAGGAUUCUGGAAUAGUCUGCAGCUGCCAACACACAGCCCUUGCCUUCUUCCUCCAGGUGGAUGGUGUCAGAGCUGAGUUGAAUGACAGGACACCCAGCUGGUGUGGGGAACGACACCCACAUGCCGGAAUUGGGUGCAGAAUCAACAAGGCCAUCUCUGAAGCACACCCUGUAUCCAGGACACCACUCCCCUGGACAGCCAGUUAUGGCUUCUCUCUCUUUACGCCUCCUCGCAGUGAACCCUCUUCCCUUCAGACCUGGCCUGGAUUGCAAUCUGCCUCCUUUGGGUCACUUCACAUCCUGGUGCACACAUCUGUGUGGAUUUUCUAGUUCAACUCUCAAGGACAACCAGAAAUUUCUUCUCAAUUUUUUUUUUUUUGGCUCAUGGAAUUAUCUCUUAAGAUGUUUUAAUAAAAUAUAUUUGAG